CACCACACCCAGAACACACCGGCCUUCCUCCUCCGUGGACAGAACCCAAGAACGUCUUCAUCAUGAAAGUUCUAGAAUAUGUGUUUUUCCUUGUUCUAAUUCCAGCUGUUCAGACCCAGUCUCUCACCUCCUCAGAACCAGUGGUGAAGAGACCAGGAGACCCAGUCACUCUGUCAUGUAUUGUGUCUGGAUUCUCUAUAAGUAGCUAUUACAUGAACUGGAUAAGGCAGAAACCAGGGAAAGGACUGGAGUGGAUUGGAUACAUUGACACUGGCACUAGUGCUUACUAUGCACAGUCUCUACAGGGUCAGUUCAUCAUUUCUAAAGACAGCUCUAAGAACCAGAUAAAGUUGGAGGUGAAGAGCCUGAAGACUGAAGACUCUGCUGUUUAUUACUGUGCUCGAGACCCACAGUGA